AUGAACCUGCUGCGGAUUUUCCUGUUCAUGCUGGUGGCCCCUUUAGGUACGUGUGUCCUCUCCCAAGUGCAGCUGCGGGAAACGGGCCCGGGAGCGGUGAAACCCGGGGAGUCCCUGACACUCACUUGUACCAUCUCCGGAGACUCGGUUUCUAGCACCAGCGCCACCUGGGACUGGAUCCGGCAGCCCGCGGGGAAAGGGCUGGAAUGGGUGGGACGCAUUUACUACAGUUCGAGUCAGUGGUACACUAACUACGCCAGCGCUCUGCAGAGCCGAACGACCAUCACACAAGACACUUCCAAGAACCAGUUCUCCCUGCAGCUCCGCUCGCUGACAGCUGCGGACACCGGCACCUAUUACUGCGCCAGAGACACACAGUGA